rnacentral:rRNA from 1 species
AAGAUGUAACGGGGCUCAAACUGGUUACCGAAGCUGCGGCUGUGCACGCAAGUGCACGGGGUAGGGGAGCGUUCUGUAAGCCUGCGAAGGUGUGUCGAGAGGCAUGCUGGAGGUAUCAGAAGUGCGAAUGCUGACAUGAGUAACGACAAUGGGGGUGAAAAACCCCCACGCCGGAAGACCAAGGGUUCCUGCGCAACGCUAAUCGGCGCAGGGUGAGUCGGCCCCUAAGGCGAGACCGAAAGGUGUAGUCGAUGGGAAACGGAUUAAUAUUUCCGUACCUUGGAUAGCUGCGAUGGAGAGACGGAGAAGGCUAGGUGAGCCGGGCGACGGUUGUCCCGGUUUAAGCAUGUAGGCAGUGGGAUUAGGCAAAUCCGGUCCCACAAUGCCGAGACGCGACGACGACUGCCCUUUAAGGGCGGGAAGUCAUUGAUGCCCUGCUUCCAGGAAAAUCUUCUAAGCUUCAGGCUAUUCGAGACCGUACCCCAAACCGACACAGGUGGUUGGGAUGAGUAUUCUAAGGCGCUUGAGAGAACUCGGGUGAAGGAACUAGGCAAAAUUGUACCGUAACUUCGGGAGAAGGUACGCCGCUGACGGUGACGAGACUUGCUCUCUGAGCUAUUGGCGGUCGCAGUGAAAAGGCCCCUGCAACUGUUUAUUAAAAACACAGCACUCUGCAAACGCGUAAGCGGACGUAUAGGGUGUGACGCCUGCCCGGUGCCGGAAGG